UACGUAGGGUCCGAGCGUUGUCCGGAAUUAUUGGGCGUAAAGGGCUCGUAGGCGGUCCGUCACGUCGGGAGUGAAAACUCAGGGCUCAACCCUGAGCGUGCUUCCGAUACGGGCGGACUAGAGGUAUGCAGGGGAGAGCGGAAUUCCUGGUGUAGCGGUGAAAUGCGCAGAUAUCAGGAGGAACACCCGUAGCGAAGGCGGCACUCUGGGCCGGAACUGACGCUGAGGAGCGAAAGCGUGGGGAGCGAACAGG
rnacentral:rRNA from 1 species